AAAAUUUUAAGACUACCUGAAAAAUUAAAGUAAUGCAAGUUCAUAAAAAUAUAAUAUGCUGCUGCAUGCUUAAUAGUGGUAGUAACUCUUAAUUAUUUGAAACCGAGUAA
rnacentral:rRNA from 14 species